rnacentral:rRNA from 1 species
AUGGAGGCCCUUAGGAGUAUUCUGCAAGUGUAUGAGGGUGCGUCAGGUCAAAGGGUAAACCUUCAGAAAUCAUCCAUUUUCUUUGGGAAAGGAUGCCAAGAGGACAAUAAGGCAAUUCUGAAAGGAGUAAUUGGGAUUAAUUCCGAAGCCCUCAGCGAGAAGUAUUUGGGUCUACCGACCGCGGUGGGCAGAUCUAAGGACGUAACCUUCAAGUAUGUUAAGGAGAGCGCCAAGGGCAAAGUGAUUGGCUGGAAGGGUCAAGGUCUAUCCAAAGCUGCAAAGGAAGUUCUGAAUAAAUCUGGUCUGCAAGCGACGCCGACAUUCACUAUGAGCUGUUUCAAACUCUCGAAGAAAAUGUGCCGGAACCUGACAUCCAUCUCUUCCAACUUCUAG